GAAAGCUCCCUGGUCUGAGCAAGUGCUAGUGAGCUUAGCGCAGAGGACAGAGAACUACUGACAGCUUAUCAUCACAGUUUUGAUGAAAAGGUGGAUCUGGACCUCAUUAUGCACUCACUUCAUAACAUCUGUCAUAGUUGUGAGACCGGAGCGAUUUUAAUAUUUCUUCCUGGAUAUGAUGAGAUAGCUUGAGGGACCGCAUUCUUUUUGAUGACAGGAGAUUUGCUGACCAUGCGCACAGAUUCUUUCUACAAAUACAGCAGAAACCAGCAUAACAGUCAAUGAUGUGGUAUUUGUUAUUGACUCAGGCAAGGUGAAAGAGAAGUCUUUUGAUGCACUGAGUUGUGUUAUAAUGCUGAAAAUGGUGUGGAUUUCAAAAGCCAGUGCUAUCCAGAGAAAAGGCAGGUAAUAAAUGCUUGAGAUUUGUUUUUAUUUUGCAGAUUUCAGCCGUCCUGUAUGUUAAGAGUGAAGUGCAAACCUAUAGCAGCCAACUAUUCCCCAGCCAAAACAACUGGGUAAUAUUUCUAGGCUAGUCCAGUAUCAUCUUGAACAAUGGCUAAUACUUCUUCUCUGCAGUAAAUAAAGAGUCAGCAUGUAUUUUCUUGGAGUAAUUUCCCAAGAUACAGAAAAGCGGCCCUCAAGAAUGUCCCAGAACUUACAUUAGGUCCAGGUUGUUGUUCCCCCAUGAACUGAAUUGCUCUUUCUGCCACGUAGCACCAGCAUGCAAAGUUGUUUGUCCGUGGGGAAAGGACUGCCUGCUGCUAGUUUUUAAUUGAUACCCUGGCGUCCCUUCUUUAGAAGUGACACUGAGCAGUGAUUCCUUAUUGACCAUCUCCAAAGUACUCAUAGAUAUUCAGACUUUGCAUAUUCAUCAGGAUGCUCAGGAUCAUACUCCUGUCAGCGCCGUGAGGGCUGAGAAGUUACGUGUGUAGAUAGCAACAACUGCCUGUAAUGUUGUCAUUAUCCUCCAGGUUUCUGAGCAUGAACUGCGAGCAUUUGCUGUCUCUGUUCCUUCGUUCACACAUGUUAGGGUCUUCAUUCUACCAUUUACAUCUAGACUUCCAUGUACCCUUUCCACUUUACCCGAGCUUUGUGGAUGCCAGGGAGUAUGAUAUUGCCGC